GAUGAAGAACGUAGCGAAAUGCGAUAACUAAUGUGAAUUGCAGAAUUCAGUGAAUCAUCGAGUCUUUGAACGCACAUUGCGCCUCCUGGUAGUCCGGGGGGCAUGCCUGUCCGAGCGUCAUUGCUGCCCUCAAGCACGGCUUGUGUGUUGGGCUCCGUCCCCCCGGGGACGGGUCCGAAAGGCAGCGGCGGCACCGAGUCCGGUCCUCGAGCGUAUGGGGCUUUGUCACCCGCUCUGUAGGCCCGGCCGGCGCCAGCCGACAACCAAUCAUCCUUUUUUCAGGUUGACCUCGGAUCAGGUAGGGAUACCCGCUGAACUUAAGCAUAUCAAUAAGCGGAGGA
rnacentral:misc_RNA from 1 species